CUGGCACCCGCCGCCGCGCUGCCCGCCGCGCCCGGCCUGGCGGCCCGCAUCUCUAACUGUUAAGGGGUUCGGAGUCUUUCCGAAGGUAGGAUCUGGGCUCUUUUUCUUUGCCGCUCGGAUGCCCGGCGGACGCACGGAGGAGCGGCUUUGCGCGGGAUUUGCGCGGGAUUUGCGCGCGGUUUGCGCGUUGGGGAUAUAUGAGGCCGUUCUCUGUGGCCGGCGGGUUGUCCGGGACCGGUCCGAUGCACAGCCAGGUCGGUGUGCUGCACGGGCAGGCGGUCACGCUGUUGGAAAGUUACUCGUUACUCCUUAAAAAAAAAAAAAAAGAAAGAAAGAAAGAAAGAGAGAAAGAAAGAAAGAAGAAAAAAAGUAAUAAUAAUAAAUAACGUCUCUAAACCGUCAAAGUUCAGAGAUUCUCAGGUCUAGGAGCUUGAAAACAGUGAUUUACAGGAACAGAGAAGGCUUGAGGGAGGACAGCAAAGCAAUACUUUUUCAUUUUAGUACACUUGUCUCAUGUACUUUUAUAAAAGAAAAGAAAAGAUUAACAUGUUUACACAGAAGAAAAUCAAGAUUAUCAUUUCUUAUUUUAACCUGUGUUUUGUAUUAUAAUAGGCUUACGGAGUUUUUAUUUUGUACUUUAUGCGUAUUCUUUACAAGGAAUAUUGUUAAAAAUUACUGGCAAGUAUUAUUGUACCAUUUUAAUGUAAGAUUUUUACACAUUUUCCAAAAUAAAAUUUUUAAUUUUCAAAAUAAUAAUAACGAUAAUAACAACAAUAACAAUUGGAGAACCAAAGCAAAAGACCCAAGGAGCCCUGCCAGGCAGUUUGCUUCGGCCCUUUUCCUCCGCUGUACUUCUCCCAUCCUCGGGACACCUCCCUCCCCGUCUCUCUGUGCAGAGACAUCGUGGUGUUUUUCCUGGGGAAAUAUCGCAGCGGUCAAAUGAUUUUUAGCUUGAUAUUCCUUAUGAUGGGUCUGACCGCGGAGAAGAGGGUCUAAGUGCGACCUUCGAUGGCCCACCGUCGGUCCCAGCAGAGAGUUGGGGGCUGGAGGGGGGUGGGGGGGGGUGGAUGGAGGAGGUGAUGGUAGAGAGAAAUAAAUAAAUGAAGGGAUGCGGUAAGAGAGAUCCGGGACAAAAGAGGGAAUAAACAGGAGCAGAUCUCUCUCAGGGAGCGAAGCCCGCCCCGCACAGCGCCAAGCGGAGCGCCGAUCAAAAAGACGGUUCGAAACUAUUUUACACUCCGGGGUGAAUUCUAAAGCGGAACGGCGUCGGGGCUGGGCCUCCCGGAGGCCCAAAGGAAAAUAGUAAUGAGGGGCACGCACGGAGCUUCCGAGAUUUGUCAGAGCCUCUUCCAUUUCUGUGACGAUAACGAGGACAUGUGUUUCUACUUUUCGAUUCGUAUGGUAUGAAAUGAGCGCGGGGACGGGGCUGGGUGAUGAGCGGACCGAGUGCGUGAGCCGCUGAGACGGGGGCGAGGAGGUGGUCGGAGCGAGCCGCAUAGCGGGCUGGGUUGGCUUCGGUCUCUCGUUUGAGCACGGCCCGUAUACGUCCCUUUCGCAGACUGAAGUUCCUUCUUAACCAAAACGUCUAUUUCCAAUAUUCGGAGUUUUAGCGUGAAAAAAGAAGAAGAAGAAGCGUGUGUUUUAGGACAGGCGUGCGGUGUUGUGCUGUGGGCUUGGGCCGCCAGCCUAUCGAAUCGGGACGGCGGCUUUCAGUAACAGUAUUUAAAACGAUUUUGUAGAUGGGGGGAUAAUGUAAAUUUUCUAGGAAAAAAAAAAAGUUAUUCAUUGUUGUCUGGGGUGGGGAAGGAAAGCCGCCGUGGUUACGUGCGUUUACGUCUCGAAGUGCCCCGUCGCCUUAGUUUUCAGUACUCUUGCGGGUCGAAACUUGCUGUUUUGUUGGUAGCCAUCGCAGGGUAAAAGCCGCUGUUGUCAACGAGCGGAAGGUCGGACGCGAGAUCCGCGGCGUUCCGUUCUUGGCGUGCGGCUGCAAGGCCGCCCUGCGGGCCGCGGGUCCCUGCAGGAGAGCUCCGUACGGUCCCGUUUAGUUUUUAGAGCGUAAGGGAGAGGAGCCCGGUGGGGCCGCGUCCGUUCCCUUUGGGGUAACCGAUGGUUAUUGCCGAGGGAGCCGGCAGCUCUCCUCCCCCGGACCCGUCCGGGCCCGCACUCGGGGCGUCCUUCGGGGCUGCGGCAAAACCGUGCAGGGGGAGUCCGGGAGGAGAGAGUGUUUGGAGCGGUGGGAUGCCCGGCGGGACGCUGCGGGCUGCGGCGAGAUGCGCGGCCCGGCAAGCCGGGUUCACGGCUAUGUCUGUGCACUGAGACCGCUGCACCAGCUGUUCCUCCGGUAUUUUACGUCGUGCGUGAACAGGGCCUCCCUCCAGCUAGAAGUCAGUAGGCAGCCGGCAGGAGGACUUGCGGUUGGUGCUAUAGAUUUAUUUCUCAAGCGCCGAGGAAGGGGUCUGCCAACGGGGCUCCCCGCGCUGUUCCCCCCCGGCUCGCCGCAGCAGGUGCCGCCGCCGCCCACUGCCGUGGAGGUGUCCCUCGGUGCCCCCGAGGCCGGGCAGUGGCCGGGGCCGAGCCGUUCCUCCGACACAGCCGGGCCUCACAACCGCGGCGGUGGGACAGACACGGCGCUGUCGCCUCCUCCUCCUCCCAGCCGCAAAGUAUGGGCUCAUUAACUCGUCUCCUUUUCUCAUCAUAUCUCCACGGGGCUGAGAGACGAAUUGCGGGGGCUGAAUCGGGAGGGGAUUGCUCUAUAUGGGGGCGAAUGUUUCAAUCAGUUCCUCCUGAAGGACCACACAAAAAGAAACUUUUCGGUUUAUGGUGCUAUUAUGCAGCGUUUUAAUCUAGGGAUAGAUUUAGCCAAAUGUUAUCUAUUGGGAAUUUAAUGAAGCCCUUAUGUAUUCAAUUGCGCUUUAUGCCACACACAGUGCCUCUAUCCAGAAACGUUUCCUUCCACAUAUUUCUUUGUUUCUGUUGGGUGAUUUAUAUAUUUUUAAUUAGUUUUUCUUUAAUUAUUUCAUCUCGGCCGUCUUGUACAACAUUCCUCCCAAGCAGGACUGCGUUUGGUCGCUUCCCACAUCCCCUACACUUUUCCUCCGCCCUUCCCCGUUUGGGAGCUGAUAACUUUGCACGUCCGCGCGCUGCGCCCGUCCCUCAGAGAGCUCCCCCGGGGGCCGACACCGCGACGGCUCCGACGGCACCGCUGUGGGCGCGGGGGCCGGGCCAGGCAGGGGGGGUGGGGGUCUGCACGCCGCUCCCCGGCCCCGAAGCCGCCCCAUCCGCAGCUCCUUUGGGCGGCACGCUUCUCCCGGUCACUUUCCUGCCGCAGCGAGAGGCAUCGUCGGCAUCGGGGGGUGCUCUGGCUCACCCCGCACCCUUGCGGGAUGGAUUCAAGCAGCACUGUCCCUGAGCCCGGGGACGGGGUGGGGCGGCGAUGGCCUCACCUGCUCUCGGCUGCUCCCUUCGCUGCUGUGCCGGUGUCAAAGGGGAGCGCACACGGCCGCCCCCGCAGUGGAGGCCUGGGCGGGAGAUCUGCUGGAAAGCAGCUCUGGUUUAAUAGCCCCUUGGCACGGCCCGGAGACUCUGCUCUGUGUGUAAUACUUUCCUUCAUUACUCACAAAGAGAAGAGCCGCCGCCCGGCCCGACUCUCCGCCGAGGUCCGGAUUCGACCUAAAAGUGAGGAGAGGCAAAGCCCGGCGCUGGGAGAUGGGUGGCCCCGCGGCGAACAUUGCUGCGGCCCCGCGGAUGGCCGCCGCCGCCCCUGCGCACCCGCAGCCCGCACCGCGGAGGGCGGAGAGUCGGAGCUGGGCCUCGGCAUGCCCAGGAAGCAGGACGAGUUAUAGACUGGGCUGUACGCAUUACCGAUGAUCAUUUAAUGCAAGAUCUAUACGAUUUUAGAAAUGGUACCACUGAAUUCAGCGGGAAAAUCAUAGAGGGAAUGUGUUUUGUUUUGUUUUGUUUUUUCAAACAAAAAAAAUAAUUAAACUAGCCCUUUCUCCAAACCGCAAGAGAGUUGUUGAAUUGAUUCUAAGUUUCCCUUUCGCCGAUGGAGCAAAACGGCAUGCAGAAGUCUGCGGGGCCCCAUAUUUAAAUGAUAAAUUAUGCAACUCAUGUCGGGAGCAAAAGGAUAAAUAAGGGUUUCGGUUGUUGCAAUAACUCGUUCUCAGAAGCUGGGGUAACCCUACCCACCAUCGGCCAGGAGGUAUUUCUCUCCCGUAGGGCGGCAGAAAACC
ensembl:lncRNA